rnacentral:rRNA from 1 species
UGGGGAAUAUUGCACAAUGGGCGAAAGCCUGAUGCAGCGACGCCGCGUGAGGGAUGACGGCCUUCGGGUUGUAAACCUCUUUCAGUAGGGACGAAGCGCAAGUGACGGUACCUGCAGAAAAAGCACCGGCUAACUACGUGCCAGCAGCCGCGGUAAUACGUAGGGUGCGAGCGUUGUCCGGAAUUACUGGGCGUAAAGAGCUCGUAGGCGGUUUGUCACGUCGUCUGUGAAAUCCUAGGGCUUAACCCUGGACGUGCAGGCGAUACGGGCUGACUUGAGUACUACAGGGGAGACUGGAAUUUCUGGUGUAGCGGUGGAAUGCACAGAUAUCAGGAAGAACACCGAUGGCGAAGGCAGGUCUCUGGGUAGUAACUGACGCUGAGGAGCGAAAGCAUGGGUAGCGAACAGG